rnacentral:rRNA from 1 species
GGAAUCUUCGGCAAUGGGGGCAACCCUGACCGAGCAACGCCGCGUGAGUGAAGAAGGUUUUCGGAUCGUAAAACUCUGUUGUUGGAGAAGAACACGUUUGAGAGUAACUGUUCAGACGUUGACGGUAUCCAACCAGAAAGCCACGGCUAACUCCGUGCCAGCAGCCGCGGUAAUACGGAGGAUGCGAGCGUUAUCCGGAUUUAUUGGGUUUAAAGGGUGCGUAGGCGGGCUGCUAAGCGUGAGGUGAAAUGCCACGGCUCAACCGUGGGACUGCCUCGCGAACUGGUAGUCUUGAAUGUCCUUGCCGUGGGAGGAAUGUGUGGUGUAGCGGUGAAAUGCAUAGAGAUCACACAGAACACCGAUUGCGAAGGCAUCUCACGAACGGAUGAUUGACGCUGAGGCACGAAAGCGUGGGGAUCAAACA